AGCGAACGCUGGCGGCAGGCCUAACACAUGCAAGUCGAACGAACUCUUCGGAGUUAGUGGCGGACGGGUGAGUAACACGUGGGAACGUGCCUUUAGGUUCGGAAUAACUCAGGGAAACUUGUGCUAAUACCGAAUGUGCCCUUCGGGGGAAAGAUUUUUCGCCUUUAGAGCGGCCCGCGUCUGAUUAGCUAGUUGGUGAGGUAAAGGCUCACCAAGGCGACGAUCAGUAGCUGGUCUGAGAGGAUGAUCAGCCACAUUGGGACUGCGACACGGCCCAAACUCCUACGGGAAGCAGCAGUGGGGAAUCUUGCGCAAGGGGCGAAAGCCUGACGCAGCCAUGCCGCGUGAAUGAUGAAGGUCUUAGGAUUGUAAAAUUCUUUCACCGGGGACGAUAAUGACGGUACCCGGAGAAGAAGCCCCGGCUAACUUCGUG
rnacentral:rRNA from 1 species